rnacentral:rRNA from 1 species
CAGCAGCCGCGGUAAUACGGAGGGUGCAAGCGUUAAUCGGAAUUACUGGGCGUAAAGCGCACGCAGGCGGUUUGUUAAGUCAGAUGUGAAAUCCCCGAGCUUAACUUGGGAACUGCAUUUGAAACUGGCAAGCUAGAGUCUUGUAGAGGGGGGUAGAAUUCCAGGUGUAGCGGUGAAAUGCGUAGAGAUCUGGAGGAAUACCGGUGGCGAAGGCGGCCCCCUGGACUAAGGCUGACGCUCAGGUGCGAAAGCGUGGGGAGCAAACAGGAUUAGAUACCCGCGUAGUCCCUGUCUCUUAUAC